rnacentral:rRNA from 1 species
GGGCCCGCACAAGCGGUGGAGCAUGUGGUUUAAUUCGAUGCAACGCGAAGAACCUUACCAGGGCUUGACAUACUGCGAACCUCCUUGAAAGAGGAGGGUGCCUUCGGGAAUGCAGAUACAGGUGGUGCAUGGCUGUCGUCAGCUCGUGUCGUGAGAUGUUGGGUUAAGUCCCGCAACGAGCGCAACCCUUAUUUUAGUUGCCAAUUCGUUGGGUUUUCUAGAAAGACUGCCGGUGACAAACCGGAGGAAGGUGAGGAUGACGUCAAGUCAGCAUGCCCCUUAUGUCCUGGGCUACACACGUGCUACAAUGACUAGGACAAAGAGUUGCUAGUUUGCGAAAACAAGCUAAUCUCAUAAACCUAGCCUAAGUUCAGAUUGUAGGCUGCAACUCGCCUACAUG